AGUGAACGCUGGCGGUAGGCCUAACACAUGCAAGUCGAACGGCAGCACAGUAAGAGCUUGCUCUUACGGGUGGCGAGUGGCGGACGGGUGAGGAAUACAUCGGAAUCUACUUUUUCGUGGGGGAUAACGUAGGGAAACUUACGCUAAUACCGCAUACGACCUACGGGUGAAAGCAGGGGAUCUUCGGACCUUGCGCGAUUGAAUGAGCCGAUGUCGGAUUAGCUAGUUGGCGGGGUAAAGGCCCACCAAGGCGACGAUCCGUAGCUGGUCUGAGAGGAUGAUCAGCCACACUGGAACUGAGACACGGUCCAGACUCCUACGGGAGGCAGCAGUGGGGAAUAUUGGACAAAGGGCGCAAGCCUGAUCCAGCCAUACCGCGUGGGUGAAGAAGGCCUUCGGGGUGUAAAGCCCUUUUGUUGGGAAAGAAAAGCAGCAGGUUAAUACCCCGCUGUUCUGACGGUACCCAAAGAAUAAGCACCGGCUAACUUCGUG
rnacentral:rRNA from 1 species